ACCAAAGCAUUCUCUGGUGUUGAAGGCCCUGCAAAGCAGCAUCGCGGUGGCGGAGCGUCGUUUGCGACGCCCAACACACAAAACAAGCGGUGAGUGCUUUGGGGUGGGGUGACUGCGUACCUUUUGUAUAAUGGGUCAGCGACUUAUAUUCUGUAGCAAGGUUAACCGUAUAGGGGAGCCGAAGGGAAACCGAGUCUUAACUGGGCGUUAAGUUGCAGGGUAUAGACCCGAAACCCGGUGAUCUAGCCAUGGGCAGGUUGAAGGUUGGGUAACACUAACUGGAGGACCGAACCGACUAAUGUUGAAAAAUUAGCGGAUGACUUGUGGCUGGGGGUGAAAGGCCAAUCAAACCGGGAGAUAGCUGGUUCUCCCCGAAAGCUAUUUAGGUAGCGCCUCGUGAACUCAUCUUCGGGGGUAGAGCACUGUUUCGGCUAGGGGGUCAUCCCGACUUACCAACCCGAUGCAAACUGCGAAUACCGAAGAAUGUUAUCACGGGAGACACACGGCGGGUGCUAACGUCCGUCGUGAAGAGGGAAACAACCCAGACCGCCAGCUAAGGUCCCAAAGUCACAGUUAAGUGGGAAACGAUGUGGGAAGGCUCAGACAGCCAGGAUGUUGGCUUAGAAGCAGCCAUCAUUUAAAGAAAGCGUAAUAGCUCACUGGUCGAGUCGGCCUGCGCGGAAGAUGUAACGGGGCUAAACUGUGCACCGAAGCUGCGGCAGCGACGCUUAUGCGUUGUUGGGUAGGGGAGCGUUCUGUAAGCCUGCGAAGGUGUCCUGUGAGGGAUGCUGGAGGUAUCAGAAGUGCGAAUGCUGACAUAAGUAACGAUAAUGCGGGUGAAAAGCCCGCUCGCCGGAAGACCAAGGGUUCCUGUCCAACGUUAAUCGGGGCAGGGUGAGUCGACCCCUAAGGCGAGGCCGAAAGGCGUAGUCGAUGGGAAACGGGUUAAUAUUCCCGUACUUGGUGUUACUGCGAAGGGGGGACGGAGAAGGCUAUGUUGGCCGGGCGACGGUUGUCCCGGUUUAAGCGUGUAGGCUGGUUUUCCAGGCAAAUCCGGAAAAUCAAG
rnacentral:rRNA from 1 species